rnacentral:misc_RNA from 1 species
GUAGGUGAACCUGCGGAAGGAUCAUUACCGAGUAUCGGGUCCUCGCGGCCCGCACUCCAACCCUUUGUGUACCAACUUUGUUGCUUUGGCGGGCCCGCGGUGUAAUGCCGCAGCCGGCUCACGCCGGUUAGCGCCCGCCAGAGAACCGUUAAACUCUUGUUUAAACAGUGUCGUCUGAGCAAAAUCAUAACAGUUAAAACUUUCAACAACGGAUCUCUUGGUUCUG